UGAAAUUAUGAUCUUUCGACUGUAAUGGAGUUUUAGAGAAGAUUGAACAAUACUUAAUAUUUGUGGAAAAAUUAACUCAGCGGGGUCCAAUGGGAACAAUGGGGACGGUUCGAGUGUCGUCUCGUCUCGAGGGAAAAGAGUGGAAAGAGUGGAAAAGUAGGAUGAAAACCUGCAGCCUCGGCAACGGUCUUGAUUCCUUGGCCGCCAUUUCUAAGUGGCAUCCAGAG